CACUGGUUGAGGGUUGGUUGCUCUCCAGAUGAGUCCAAGGCAAGACGAAACCAGUG
rnacentral:sRNA from 1 species